rnacentral:rRNA from 1 species
GACGGAGGAUGCAAGUGUUAUCCGGAAUCACUGGGCGUAAAGCGUCUGUAGGUGGUUUAAAAAGUCCACUGUUAAAGAUUGAAGCUUAACUUCAAAAAUGCCGUGGAAACUUUUAAACUUGAGUAUGAUAGGGGUAGAGGGAAUUUCCAGUGGAGCGGUGAAAUUGCGUAGAUAUUGGAAAGACCACCAAUGGCGAAGGCACUCUACUGGACCAUUACUGACGCUGAGGCGCGAAAGCGUGGGGAGCAAACAGG